AGCUCAAAUUUGAAAUCUGGGGUCCUCGGCCUCCGAGUUGUAAUUUGGAGAGGCUUCUUCUGGGGGGAGCGCUGGCCCAUGUUCCUUGGAACAGGACGUCGCAGAGGGUGAGAAUCCCGUGCCAGGCCGGCUGCCUCCUCCCGCAUGAAGGGCCUUCGACGAGUCGAGUUGUUUGGGAAUGCAGCUCCAAGUGGGUGGUAAAUUUCAUCUAAAGCUAAAUACCGGCGGGAGACCGAUAGCGCACAAGUAGAGUGAUCGAAAGAUGAAAAGCACUUUGAAAAUAGAGUCAAAAAGUACGUGAAAUUGUUGAAAGGGAAGCGCUUGAGACCAGACUCAGACCCGCGCAAACAUCGCGCCCCCCGGGGCCGUGCAAUUGCCUGGGGCUGGGCCAGCAUCAGUUGGCGUGGCGGGAAAAGGGCGCGGGAAAUGUGGCUCCCCUCGGGGAGUGUUAUUAGGCCCGCGCCGGAUGCCGCCGACGCCGACUGAGGACCGCGCCUCGGCUAGGAUGCUGGCUUAAUGGCCUUCAGCGACCCGUCUUGAAACACGGA
rnacentral:rRNA from 1 species